CUUCACAGGGGAAGAGGAUCGCGAUUGUUCUUCACCGCCUUUCUCCUAUUCCCCGUCGCACAUUUCUCUCCCAUCGCCGUCAGCUCGUCCGCCGCUCUUCUUUCCGUCCUCGUUCGUCGGCUACAACGAACUGGGUUACUGGAUUCUUUAGUUUUCCUCCUCUGUUCACAUCGCUCUUCCCUCUGCUGUCCAUCACCGAAUAUUCUUUCUUCUCCCCUGUUGGAGUCGUGUAGCAAGUUCUGUCAUUUUAUGUUGUGGAAGCUGGUUUAUGGGUGCAAAAUGUUCGAUCUGUUGGUCUCUCCACUUUCCCCUGUAACGUCGCUGCUUUUCUUCUUCUUCGUCCUAGUUUAAAUUCCAUCGCCGAACGUGUGUAGCUGGGAAAAGCAUAGAUUUUUCUUCUUCUUCGUUGCUCUACUGGACGUGGCAGAUCUGGUUCAUGAUUGCAGACUGUUCGACCCACUGGGAAUCUUAGAAUGAAAGUUUCACGAAAGAGGCCAUUUGAAAUAAGUAGCAUUACGUGGGAGCACACCAGAUAUCCAAGCUGAUUUCGUACUCCCUGCUGAUCUCUGAUGGGCUCAUUGUUGAAUUGACUAGAAGAUUACUUUUGAGAUAUCAUCUCAUUCAAGUAAAAUUCAAAAGCCCAUAUAGUAUCUUUUGAAAGUUCGAUUUAGAGUGCUCCACAUUAACUAUAGUUAGGGUCCUGCCUCUUUUUGUUAUGUUAAUUGUUUGCUGUUGAGUAGCAAAGCUUUAUAUUAUUGGAUAUAUGUUGUAUAUUUUCUGUUGAAGAGAUUUUGGAGGAUCCUGCCCUUAGGGGAGGGUUUGCAGAAAUUUUGAAAAAAAAAAUGAUAUUUUGACUUUAGGUAAAAAAAAAUCUGGAUACUUUAAUUCAGAACUUUUCUUAAUUAAACUUUAGGGAUGUGAAUUUGUAUAUAUAUAUAUAUAUAUCUUAUGUUAUUCAAUGUAAAAAUUUUAGGAUGUGACAGAUUGGUAUCAGAGCUUAGGUUUCCUAUAGUUAUGUAGAGCGAGUGAUCUUCGGUGGGGUCUCAAUUAUAAUUAUGAACCCGGGCAUAAUCAUAAUUGAGGCAUCAUUGAAGGCCUUUUAGGAGUCUUGUUGUGUCUUUUUUUUUUUAGUAGUCAUGUCUAUUCCAUAUGAGUUCUAUCUACUAGAUUGACUAUAUCUUAUGUUUUCCUUGUGUAGUGAUAUUGUAUCUUAAAUGCUGAGUAUCAAGUAGAAGGACAUGUAGCAAGAUAGUUUCUAAUAG